GUCCGCGCUGUAAACGAUGAGCACUAGGUGUGGGCGGGGUUAAACCCGUCCGUGCCGCAGGUAACCCAUUAAGUGCUCCACCUGGGGGACUACGACGGCAACGUUGAAACUCAAAGGAAUUGACGGGGGCCCGCACAAGCGGUGGAGCGUGUGGUUCAAUUCGACGCUACGCGAAGAACCUUACCAGGGCUUGACAUGCAAGUAGUACCGAACUGAAAGGGGAGGGAUCCCGCAAGGGAAGCUUGCACAGGUGCUGCAUGGCUGUCGU
rnacentral:rRNA from 1 species